UACGAAGGGGGCUAGCGUUGCUCGGAAUCACUGGGCGUAAAGGGUGCGUAGGCGGGUCUUUAAGUCAGGGGUGAAAUCCUGGAGCUCAACUCCAGAACUGCCUUUGAUACUGAAGAUCUUGAGUUCGGGAGAGGUGAGUGGAACUGCGAGUGUAGAGGUGAAAUUCGUAGAUAUUCGCAAGAACACCAGUGGCGAAGGCGGCUCACUGGCCCGAUACUGACGCUGAGGAGCGAAAGCUAGGGGAGCAAACGGG
rnacentral:rRNA from 1 species